AAAAAAACAAGCGUAUGGGCCGGUAUUUCUUAAUGCCACACUAGGACUGAAGAAUCAUAAUGGGAAUAAGGGGAAAACAAAAAAAAAUCGUCCACAGUCCCACGAUCGAACAGUCCCUGCCCUCCGAACUUCCAAGUUCCACCUCAAUUUAAUACCGCCGUUGCAAUUGAAAUCUGUGUCGGGUGUGAGGGUGGCGCAGAUAUGGGGAGCUCGGAGGAGAAGGUGGUAGCUGUUAUCAUGUCGGCGGACCCACUAAAGGUCUGGUCUGUUCAACCAACCAUUAGUAUCGACUUCCGAUUACCACCAUCUUUCUCACUUUCCUUGCUUAGAAAUGGACCGCUACAUGUUUGUGAAUUGCCUUUCCUGGUUGAAAUUUGAGCAUAAUUUAUAGUAACUGUGCGUAUCCCUCCUUGUUUCUUUGACAAAAAAUGUUGCAGGCACUCGAUUUCGGCCACUUUCUUUUAAUACUCCCAAGCCUCUUUUCCCUUUGGCUGGCCAGCCCAUGGUUCACCAUCAUAUUUUCUGCUUGUAAAAGGGUAUGCCUUUUGAUUGUCGUUUUUGAGUAGAAUUCCAUCCUGAAAAGGACUACUGGAAGAAGAAGAAGAAGAUAUCGGUAUCUUUCCGUUGUGAUUCAGCAUUAGAAUUCGACCGUGCUGUUUGUGCAGAUCAAGAACUUGGCACAAAUAUUUCUGAUCGGUUUUUACGAGGAGAGAGAAUUUGCUUUAUACGUCUCUUCAAUCUCCAGUGAGCUUAGAGUCUCUGUCAUCAGGCGAACUUUGGCCGUUUGGUUUCUACUAAUACUCGAUUCCAUGCUUUCUUCUUUCCCUUUUUCUUUGUUUUGGCUGCCUAACUUUCCCAAGUUUCCAGUACAAAACUUGAGCAUUGAAUCUGAGAGUGGUUUUCUGUCCUUUUAUAAAAAUUAUUUUGUAGAUAUUUGAAAGAAGACGGGCCUCAUGGUUCGGCGGGGGACCUUUAUUACUUUAGAGAUCUCAUGAUGGAAGAUUCUCCUGUGUGUCAUCCCAUUGCGCAUAGUUCUUAUUUAUUUGACCACCUUAAUGAUUUUGCUUUCGUCUUACAAUAGUCGACCGAGGGAGCAUAUGGUCGUGUUGUUUCUCCUUGGUGAUGAAGAACCACACUAUUAGCUUUUGGUAUCGAUAUCCACUUUUUCUUUUUUUUCCUUUUUUUUUGGGAAGCGUUUACGUGUUUUUUGCAAUGUUUUGAAAAUCGAAUCGAAUCGACCGGUUUGAUCGAUUGAACCGCGAAUCGACAAUGACAUCAGUCCGAUUCAAUGUCAUAGUUGACUUUGUCAAAAAAUCAUGUGUGUGAUACCAUCUUUGUACAGCUUAUUUGUUUUAUUUUCUCAUACUGAUAGAAGCCCUCUGGCACGUCUAUUAAUCUGACAUUUGCUUUUAUGAUCGAAUUGUAGAAAUCAAGGUAGUUAUGAUCGAAUUGUAGUAUGAAAGUUGCAGUAUAUACCACACAGUUGUCUUGCACCCUAAUGUUGGAUCGAAGUCAUCUCUUGGGAAGUGGUCUCGCCGCCCUGGUUUCAAUCUUAGCCACUAGAUCAACGAGGCCUCCUUGGCAGGUAUUGUUUUUUGCUUUUUCAUGGUUCAGGUAAUUUAUUCACUUAAUUAAUGAAGUGCAUGUAUAGUUUUCCUCCAUGUGGUGUAGUUCCCUCAAGAGUUUCAGAUUUGUCAAACUCCAAAAAUUUCAAGUAUUCCAUAAUUCAUAAUGUUGGAGGAAGAAGAUUAGGAUAUCAUGAAUUCUGAUUGCGUCUGCCUGUUUGGUCAUCCAUGGGAAGCUGUGACUGUUGAAGAUGAGGUUGUGGUGAUCAACUCCAUCGUUCUUCCUCACAGGACACUUAAUAUGAGCGUGCAGGAAGAAAUCAUUCUGUGAGAUAAUCAAGCUGCAUUUUGGAAGCUCCAUUUUGCAUUAUACUUCUUGGAUUUUAUGUCAUAACUGCUCUUAUACCAAAAGUAAAUUGCAAUGCUAAUCGAUAGAGCACUCAGAAAGUAAAAAUUAUAGAUUCCAUGUUGUAUACUGCUACCUCCCGCACCCUAUUUAAUAAUCUGAAUGCUUCUUGUAUAU